UACGUAGGGGGCAAGCGUUAUCCGGAUUUACUGGGUGUAAAGGGGGCGCAGACGGCGCGGCAAGUCCGGAGUGAAAUCCCAGGGCCCGACCCUGGGGCUGCUCUGGAAACUGCCGGGCUGGAGUGCUGGAGGGGCAGGCGGAAUUCCUAGUGUAGCGGUGAAAUGCGUAGAUAUUAGGAGGAACACCGGUGGCGAAGGCGGCCUGCUGGACAGCGACUGACGUUGAGGCCCGAAAGCGUGGGGAGCAAACAGG
rnacentral:rRNA from 1 species